UCGUCUUCCUCAUCCGGCGCUAUCUCCCAGCCCACCCUCAGCGGUCAGGUCACCGAGAAGCUCUCCCGCACAAACUAUGUGCUAUGGCGCACGCAGAUCAUCCCGCAGCUGCGUGGCGCCGGGGUCUUCGGCUAUGUCGAUGGCACCCUGCCGGAACCGGCCAAGCUCCUCGCCACCAAGGACAAGGAUGGCAAGGAGACGUUUGAGCCCAACCCUCUCCACCCCAUCUGGGUCAGGGAGGACCAACAGGUGCUCGACUACCUGCUGAGCAACCUCUCCAAGGAAGUCCUCAUCACGGUGACCACGGUCACCACAGCGACUGCGCUCUGGACGACUCUGGCGGCCAUGUACUCGUCGCAGUCGCUCAGCCGCGUCAACAACAUCCGCACCAGCCUCAUCAACGCCCAGAAGGGCAACCAGUCCGUCGCCUCUUACUUCGCCGCGGCCGGCAAGCCGAUCCAGGACGAUGAACUCAUCUCCUAUAUCCUUCAUGGACUGGAUCAGGACUAUCAGCCCCUGGUCUCGGCCCUCGAUGCCCGUGUCACUCCUGCCUCCCUCGACGAGAUCUUCUCCAUGCUCAGCAACUUCGAUCAACGCAUGGCU
rnacentral:rRNA from 1 species